UCAGAGGAAUUUGUCUAUAAAUCGUCAUUACUCGUUUAUUUUCACUUUUUUCUAUUUUCUAUACCGCCGUCUUAAGUUAAAACUCCAAAUUUUUAUCUCAAGCUCUUUUGAUAAGUCAGGUCAAGGUGGAGAUUAUAAAAAAGUUUAGAUUAAUUAUUCAUAAACGUUAUUUAAAGUCGGUUUUCCAAAGAUAGCUUAAAUAAAGAUUUGAAAGUAGUUUUUAAUUAAAAAUUAAAAACAAACUUGUCGCAGGUGUACAUAUCGCCCGUCACCCUCGUCUAAAGAUGAGGUAAGUCGUAACAUAGUUAGUGUACUGGAAAGUGCACUAAGGGGAAUUAAAAGCUUUAGCGUUUCAUUUACACAGAAAAGAGUGAUAAUUCAAUUUUCAUAAACCUUCCUUACUUAAAUCACUAUUCAUCCCACUUAAUUUCCCUAUUUUUAAAAAUAACCGUAAGGGCCAAUAAAUUGAUUCUAAGAAACUUUUUAAUGUACCUUUUGUAUCAGGGUGGGUCAAGCUUACUAUUGAAAAAUAUUGUCCCGAAAUAAAAUGAGCUACUUCACUUAUUAUAUCUUAUAGCAAAAAAAUAGUAAAAGUUUAGUAGAAGUGAAAUUCCAUUCGUAUUUUAUUAUAUCUGGUUUUUUCAAAAAGUAUAAUUACUUAAACCUAAAAAGGGAUAAUCUUUUUUAACUAUUUAUUUUUCCAUUUUUCCAUCCUUCUAAGAUUAGAAGUGUCUUCUUGUGUAAAAACUUUUGUUACUGUUUCCAGAUAAGUUUUAUUAUGGAAUUAUCUUCUUUUUAUAAAGACAAUGACUCUAUCAGUAAAGAGGAAUCCCAACCGUUCUUUAAAAAUCCUUUAAAACGAUUUUUUGACUUAUUUUCAUUAACUUGGCUAAGUUUUCUGACUGUUUACCAAAAACAUUUCUGAAUGAAUUUUCUUUUCAGUAAGACCUGCUCAAUGAUCUUUUUAAUAGCCGCAACUUAUGUGCUAAGGUAGCAUAAUCAUUUGCCUUAUAAUUUAAGGCUAGUAUGAAAGGUUUAACAUGAUAACUUCUUUGUUAAUUUAAUUACUAGAAUUUUACUUAUAAGUAAAAAGGCUUAUAUUCAAAAGGGGGACGACAAGACCCUGUCGAGCUUUACUUAUUAGUUGAACUGGGGUGGUUUAAAACUAAAUCUUUUCAUUUCGUUUAAUUAUAUCCUUAUUUUAAGAUUUUCAAGUUACCGCAGGGAUAACAGCAUAAUUUUUUUCUAGAGAUCUUAUCUAAAAAAAAGAUUGUGACCUCGAUGUUGAAUU
rnacentral:rRNA from 1 species